UGGAGGGAGAUAUUAUCCUGUUAUCUGAGCAGCAGCCUUGGUGGUGUACCCAGGAAUCUUUGCAUUGUUUUUCAAUAUGAUGAAACCGCAUCAAAGACUGAGACAAUGAUAUGUCCUCCCUGCUGCUUCAUCUCCUCCCACCACCAGCACGAGGGAAGAGGACCAAGAUCAGUGCCAGUGCUUGUACACUUUCAUAAGUCAUGCUGCAGCAUUGAAGACCAUCUUGAAUGGAGCCAUGGUCGACAGCCAUACCUCCUUGCCGUCGCAAGAAGACAGAGCAAGAUUGCCAACUACUACAUCGUGGUGGACAAGAGGCUUGUUCCCUGCCAGGAAAUUAGUGGUCUGAGUGGUUUUGAUGAACUGUUCAAAGCCCACUUUGUCUUUAACCUGACGUAUGAUGAUGCUCUUGUCAACUUCUGCACAUUAGUGCAGACAACCAUCUACAACGUUGAUGUAGGCAAAACAAGAGAGGCCCCUAGCUUGAUAGAGUUGAGGACAUAACUUCUUAACUAGAUAAAUGUAUGUUACGGUGCUUUUGUUGUCAAGCGUUGCACAGAAACAGACAGUCAUUGAUAUCUCAUUUGAGAAUUGAGCAUAGCUUCUAUCCCUGCACAAAGUUUAGAUUGGUCUGAACUCAAGAUGUUUGUAGAUGGCAGUUUUCAACAUUCUCAGUUUAUUUUGUUUUAUAGUAUUCAUAAGGAUAUUAGUCAAGUAGUUGAUGCAUUAAGCUUAGAAGGGCUCUCUCAUGUUGCUGAUACUCCUGUCCAGUCAGAAGCUCCACAAAUGGGUGGUGACAUUGGUGUCCCACAUGAUAACACUCAAAGUGAUUGUUUUGAGAAGAAUGGAAAGUCUUGAUAAAGAUAUGUUUCUCCAUCAUUGCCAAAUAGCAAGCUAGUGGUGUUGCAAAUAGUGUUGUGUCAACAGUAGUGUGUGAUUUAGAAAAGCUUACUACUGGGCUGCACUCCCAGAUUAAACAAAAUCUGUCAGUUACACCUAUGGAUAACCCCUCCCCUCUAUCUGCUGUAAAUUAUAGUUUUGAGAACUUUGAAAACCCGUUUGCCAGUUUUAACACAGAAACCAAGAGAACAAAGUACUUCAACCAAAAAUGGGGUGUUGUGGAGCCAGUAAAGUAGUGUUGGGAGUUAGAUUUGAUAGCAGGCGAAAUACACAAAUAUGCAUGUAUGAUCAAGUCCUAGUGAAAAACAUUUUAGUAUAUAUUCCUAUUCUGGAAACAUUGACGUUCAUCUGACGCAAUUCUGAAAUCUGCAUGUUAUUGGAAAAUGCACCAAGAAAUGCAUUCUGUGUGUCACGACUUCCUCUCCUUGUUCGAGCGGCGUUUGGCGGUCGACGUCACCGGUCUUCUAGCCAUCGCCGAUCCACCUUUCAUUUUCCAUUUGUUUUGUCUUGUUUUCCCGCACACCUGGUUUACUUUCCCUCAUUACUUGACGUGCAUAUAACCCUCUGUUCCCUCCAUGUGUCACGUUCCUGACCUGUUUUCUGUUGUUUGGUAUGUGUUUAAUUGGUCAGGGCGUGAGUUUUGGGUGGGUAGUCUAUGUUAUGUGUUUUCUAUGUUGGGUUAAUGGGUUGCCUGGUAUGGCUCUCAAUUAGAGGCAGGUGUUUGGCGUUUCCUCUAAGCCGUCACCAAGACCGCAGAGAGUCAUAUUAAUAUGAGAGUCAUAUUAAGGUAGGUUGUUUCACAUUGUUUGUUGUGGGUGGUUGUCUUCCGUGUCAGUACAUGUUACCACACGGGACUGUUUCGGCUUGUCUGUUUCCUGUCUCUGUGAUUGUCUGCACCAGAUAGGUCUGUGUCGGUUUUUGCACAUUUGUUAUUUUGUAUUGUUGUUUGUAGUGUUUUACUUGUUCUUUAUUAAACAUGUUUAACACUAGCCGCGCUGCACUUUGGUCCUCUCCUUCACCCCUGGAAGAAAACCGUUACACCAUGUCUGUGUGUGGAAUUGUUUGUUGUAAAGUGUUUGUGCACUUCAGACUGGUUUGCUACAGUUGAUUUCAACCUGUAUUUUGUUGUUCUGGGUGCAGUUUGUUUUUCUCAUUAAACUGCUCCGGUUGUUACCCAGUUCUGCUCUCCUGCGUGUGACUUCCCUGCAGCCAGAUACGCACCUCUUACACUGUGGAAGACAGUUAUGAAGAAUUUUGUGAUGGAAGUUAUUACCUCUACAGGAUCGAUGUCCCCCUUGCCGGACAGUUGAGCUAAAAUGCGCUAAUGUGAAUAGCAUGACGUUGUAAGUAACAAGAACAUUUCCCAGGACAUAGACAUGUCUUACAUGGGCAGAAAGCUUAAAUUCUUGUUAAUCUAACUGCACUGUCCAAUUUACACUAGCUAUUACAGUGAAAAAAUACCAGGCUAUUGUUUGAGGACAGUGCAUAACAACAACAAAAAAUGUAUCAUGGCAACUGGUUUGAUACAUUCACUUCAGUAAUCUUGUUCUGAUUUGUCAUCAUGAGGGUCCCAGAGAUAAAAUAUAGCAUUGUUUUUGAUCAAAUCAGUUUUUAUAUUCAAAUAUAGGAACUGGGUUCUACAGUUUGAACGCCUGCUGUGUCUGCCCCCCUCCCCCUCCCAUCUAGGUGUGUUAAGAUUAGUGUAUUUUCUCUAGGGAAGCUAAUUAUCCAUCAUUUAUGACAUUCCUGGGAGUGUGUAAACUUAUAUUUUUUAUUACCAUAUCAUUUCUGUAUGUUCUCUAUAGUUAUUUACAUGAAAAUGUAUCAAUUGACCAAUUCGGCACAUUUGGGGAGACUUGAUACAACAUUUUGAACACUAAUGCAAUGGUUCAUUUGAUCAGUCUAAAACUUUCCACAUACACUGCUGCCAUCUAGUGGCCAAAAUCUAAAUUGGGCCUAAACUCCUACAUUAUAUAAUGGCCUUUCUCUCCAAUUUCAAAGACGCAAAAUAAAUAAAAAAUUAUUUGUAUUAUAUUUUACCAGAUCUAUUGUAUUAUAGUCUACUACAUUAAUUUCACAUUUCCAAAAACUUUCCUUACAAAUGGUAUAUCCUUGGUUCAGGUCCUGAGCUACAUGCAGUUAGAUUUGGGUAUGUCAUUUUAGGCAAAAAUUUAAAAAAGGGUCCGAUCCUUAAGAGGUUCAAGACUCAUCCCCUGUUCUCUAAAUAUAGAAAUGCUUUACAGAUCCAAUUGUACAAUGACGCUGAUACUGCCAACCCGCUUGGAUUCAAGCGUGGUGUUCACAAGAUAGGCGCCAUUUAUGUUGCCACCCAAGUUUAACUCUGCUGUGAAGAAUAUUAAUUUAGUGUCAACAUUUUCGUUAUCAAGAUCUAAAGAAACAUGGCUUUGAUGCCAUUCUAGAGCCAUUGGUAAAUGAUGUUAAAAAACUGGAGAGUGAUGGUGUAAAUUAGCCUUUUUUCAGCUGAUAGAGAUUAUGGAACUAUCUGCCAAUUAACUGGAUACAAUUUGGGGAUGCAUGCAGUCCUUGUGUUCACAGAGUCCUUCAGUGGUCAUUACUUUUGCCGGUUAUGUUUGAAAGAAAAGUGUAAUGCUCAGACGGUUUGACUGUAAGAUUGUCUUGCGUGAUAAAGAUCAAUUUGAAAUGAAUCAGUUGCAAUCAGACCCACAGUUUCCAUCUGUGUAUGGUGUAAAGAAAAAUGUUAAACAGUUUGCAGCACUUCCAUGUUAGCAGUACUUUUUCUGUGGACAUAAUGAAUGACAUUCUUGAAGGGGUGGCUCAGUUUGAGUUAAAAUUGUUGUUUGAAUAUGUCUCUGAAAAUGUUAUUUUGAAAAGUGCACUUCCCUCUCGAAUCUACUCAUUUGACUAUGAUUACUUGAAGCACAAAAACCGUCCAACUAAAGUCAACCAAGUGAACAGUGGAAAUAGCAGAGCACUUAAUUAUAUUCUAACUCUGUCUUGUGAGAAAUAAUCCCUUGAUUUUGGGUGAUGUGUUCAACCAGGAAAUGAGAACUGGAAUUAGCUGCUAAUUUUGCUGCAAAUAAUCGACAUUGUUUUUUUCCCCUUUUCUUAGCCAGGGCAUGACUGUAUCUGAAGCAUUUGAUAAUUGAACAUCACCCACUUGUCAAACUGUUGAACCCACAUAAAAACGUAAUACUCAAACAUCACUUUAUGAUACAUUACCCAGCAUACAUAAAACAAAUCUGUCCUUUAUUACGUGGAGCAUGAGGUUUGAGGUAAAGCAAAAUAACACCCUCAAAAACUUACAUUACUAAGUCCCUUGCCAAAAAACACAAAUUUGCUAUAGGCCAUCACUGGAAGACAUCACCAUUUCGACAGACUGAGUAUGGACCGAUGAAAGUAUUUUCCCUGAGGGAUUUUACUGGUGGUGAGUUGGCAGCGUCUCUUCAGGUCACUAUGCAGAAAGCCAUUUACUCUACCAGCUGGGUUAAGAUGGAUGGUAUGGUGUACAGAAAAGGACUGAUAGUUUGCAGUAAGAAGGAGCAUGAAAUGCCAGUCUUUUGUAAAAUAACUAAGAUCAUUGUGGAUGACAAUAUUGUAUACCUAUUGCUGGACAAGUUGCAUACUGAUAAUUUCAAUGAACAUUAGCAUGCAUUCACUGUGUUUGAUGGUGUUGAUGACAAUGUUGUUGUUAAAAGAUUAUCUGAAAUGUUAUAAGCCUUUUGUCCUUUAAAGUGCUUAUGGUGCUGAUGAGAGCCUUUAUGUUGUUCCUUUGUUUGACUUGAUUGAGUAAUAGUCAGAUUAUUGGCAACUUUGUCAAGAAAAUGACAUACCUAGUCUUAGAAGGACUUCCACUUGUGUUAAAUGGCAACUCUGCAAAUACUCUUGUUCUCAUGUAGUACAUGGACUGAGGCGCCUGUGAUGCCAAGUUUUCAAUCUGAUGCUCCUGUGAUGCACUGAUUUCAUUUGAAUGUGCCUGUGAUGCACUGAUUUCAUUUUAAUUUGCCUGUGAUGCAAUGAUUUCAUUUUAAUGUGCCUGUGAUGCACCCUUUUCAUUUUAAUGUGCCUGUUAUGCACUGAUUUCACUGUGAUGUGCCUGUGGUGAACUGAUUAAAUUUUAAUGUGCCUGUGAUGCACUGUUUUCACUGAUGCACCCUUUCUUUGUGGCCUAAAUAAAUGAAACAAU